rnacentral:misc_RNA from 1 species
GAUGAAGAACGUAGCGAAAUGCGAUAAGUAAUGUGAAUUGCAGAAUUCAGUGAAUCAUCGAAUCUUUGAACGCACAUUGCGCCCGCCAGUAUUCUGGCGGGCAUGCCUGUUCGAGCGUCAUUUCAACCAUCAAGCCCCCGGCUUGUGUUGGGGACCUGCGGCUGCCGCAGGCCCUGAAAAGCAGUGGCGGGCUCGCUGUCACACCGAGCGUAGUAGCAUACAUCUCGCUCUGGGCGUGCUGCGGGUUCCGGCCGUUAAACCACCUUCAUAACCCAAGGUUGACCUCGGAUCAGGUAGGAAGACCCGCUGAACUUAAGCAUAUCAAUAGCGGAGGA